rnacentral:rRNA from 1 species
GAUGAACGCUGACAGAAUGCUUAACACAUGCAAGUCCACUUGAAUUUGGGUUUUUAACUUAGGUUUGGGUGGCGGACGGGUGAGUAACGCGUAAAGAACUUGCCUCACAGCUAGGGACAACAUUUGGAAACGAAUGCUAAUACCUAAUAUUAUGAUAAUAGGGCAUCCUAUAAUUAUGAAAGCUAUAAGCGCUGUGAGAGAGCUUUGCGUCCCAUUAGCUAGUUGGAGAGGUAACGGCUCACCAAGGCGAUGAUGGGUAGCCGGCCUGAGAGGGUGAUCGGCCACAAGGGGACUGAGACACGGCCCUUACUCAUACGGGAGGCAGCAGUGGGGAAUAUUGGACAAUGGGCCGAGAGUCUGAUCCAGCAAUUCUGUGUGCACGAUGAAGUUUUUCGGAAUGUAAAGUGCUUUCAGUUGGGAAGAAACAAAUGACGGUACCAACAGAAGAAGUGACGGCUAAAUACGUG